AGUGAACGCUGGCGGUAGGCCUAACACAUGCAAGUCGAACGGCAGCACAGUAAGAGCUUGCUCUUACGGGUGGCGAGUGGCGGACGGGUGAGGAAUACAUCGGAAUCUACUUUUUCGUGGGGGAUAACGUAGGGAAACUUACGCUAAUACCGCAUACGACCUACGGGUGAAAGCAGGGGAUCUUCGGACCUUGCGCGAUUGAAUGAGCCGAUGUCGGAUUAGCUAGUUGGCGGGGUAAAGGCCCACCAAGGCGACGAUCCGUAGCUGGUCUGAGAGGAUGAUCAGCCACACUGGAACUGGGACACGGGCCAGACUCCUACGGGAGGGCACAGUGGGGAAUAUUGGACAAUGGGCGCAAGCCUGAUCCAGCCAUACCGCGUGGGUGAAGAAGGCCUUCGGGUUGGAAAGCCCUUUUGUUGGGAAAGAAAAGCAGCAGGUUAAUACCCCGCUGUUCUGACGGUACCCAAAAAAUAAGCACCGGCUAACUUCGUG
rnacentral:rRNA from 1 species